UACGUAGGGUGCAAGCGUUGUCCGGAAUUGUUGGGCGUAAAGAGCUCGUAGGCGGUCUGUCGCGUCUGCUGUGAAAACUCAGGGCUUAACCCUGAGCUUGCAGUGGGUACGGGCAGACUAGAGUGCGGUAGGGGAGACUGGAAUUCCUGGUGUAGCGGUGAAAUGCGCAGAUAUCAGGAGGAACACCGGUGGCGAAGGCGGGUCUCUGGGCCGUAACUGACGCUGGAGGAGCGAAAGCAUGGGGAGCGAACAGG
rnacentral:rRNA from 1 species